rnacentral:tRNA from 1 species
GGGGGGUAUAGUUCAAUAGGUAGAACAGCUGUAUGUGGCAUAGUAUAUCCUAGUUCAAUUCUAGGUACCCCUC